ensembl:lncRNA
AUGCAUAAAGCUAUUAGCCCCAGAAAAAGGAAAUUCAAAUCUGUAGACGGUAAUCCCAAGAGACGGCGUAGAUCUGAUAGCGGGGGUAGCAUUAUGGAUGUAGAUCUUGAAGAGAUGGCUAUGAGGUAUGAUACAACCGGCGAUACGUCUGUAGGCCGUGUGGGGGGUGGGGGCAUGUGUGCUGAAGGUGGUUUAGACAUGCGGGAAAUACGUGCUGACAUAGCUAGAACUAGACGUGUGUUAAUUGAUGCUAAUGUAGGGGGUAAUAGAAUGACGGCUGCACUAGACAGGGCUGCUAUGAUAAAUGUUUCGAACGAUCCGUGUGCAGAUGGAGGGGAGGUGUGUGUGGGGUUAGAUGUCCCCGGGGAUUUAGACACACGGGAUGUGUUGUAUGCGGCGGCGUACACCAGAGAUGUACUUAACACUGUCGAUGGGUGGCUGGCUAGUGUACAAGAGAGGCUCGACAUAGCCGAGCAGAUAGACAUAACAUCACCGAUAGAUGUAUUGCAUGUGUCGCAACGUGACGAAGGGGAUGGUGAGGGUUUUCAGGAACCCCUGGCGGCUGCAGGGGGUAGGACUGGUGACUCUAUAGAGCCGAAUAUACAGGACGGUGGCGGUGGUGGUGGUGGUGGUGGUGGCGGUGUUGUUGACGUUGAUGGUACACCUGCGCCUAUGGCGACGGGUGAUGAUGAUGACGAGUUGCAUACUAGAUUAUUUCCCCGCUUUAACGGUUUUGAGGUUAGACAGACCAUUGAUCUGAGAAGUAUAUCCCUAGUAAAUUUACAAGAAGUCCCUGAUUUGAUCAGGGAGAGACUGUCGGGGGUUAUAACAAACUGCUCACAAAGUACAGCCGACGGUAGCGUCUUAAACGUUGUUUUGAGAGGGCCUUCAUUGGCAGCUGAUGUGCAGGCUGUGCUCGUGGCAGGUGAUGAUUACAAUGCGGAUUUGUUUAUGGAUCAUAUUAGCCAAGUCAUACAGAGUAACGACACAGGUCUGACGGAUGAUGUGUUAGAGCUGGUGGUCACAGGGGUCCAUAACAAACGGGGUGGUGGGCGUUUGAAGUUAAAAACAAUUCCCUAUGAUGAGAUCAUAAACAAGAAGAAAUUAAAUCUCUACACACCAAGUAACACACAUAACAAUUUGUGUUUCUCACUAUGCAUGAUACAUUUUCUGCAGGAGGGGGUAACCGGAGGCAGUACAGUGCCCGACGAGACUAAUUUGGAGGCGGCUCGCACAUUACAUAGGGAGCUGGUGUACGGUCCAGAUCACUCUGUGGGUUUCUCGGAUGUUUUCAAAUUUGAGAGACAUCUAGAUGUUAAAAUCUUGAUGUUUCAUCAUAAUGAUGCAUUCAAGAAGUUGGAGAUGUUCCAGACGCAUAUGGGCCAACAUCCUAAAACAAUAUUGUUGUACCUGCAUGAUAACCAUUAUCAUUGUAUAGUGAACCGCACGGCUUUCUUUGGUAUGCGAUAUGUGUGUGAAUAUUGCUACAAAGCCCACGAGGCCAUUCUAUUCCACAAAUGCCCGGUCCAUUGCAAUGUGUGUCUGACAGUGUGCGAUAGCCUGGCAGGUCGUACUAUAAAGUGCACAGACUGUAGUCGUAUAUGCCGCUCGCAGGUCUGCUACGCCAUACAUAAGCAACGUUCUGCCGUACAUAAAAUGAUACCAUGUGAAAAGAUCAAAUACUGUAAUCAGUGUUGUAGACAGUAUAUCAUACCGCAGAAGAAAAAGAAGAGGGGGGAGGAGGAGGAGGAGGAGGGGGAGGAGGAGGGGAGGAGGAGGAGGAGG